CACAACAGAAUGUUGGCCCUGAUAAAGCCAAUCAAUUCAAACCUAUAAUACUGUGAUGAAUGUUUGACUCUGAAGCCCAAAAAAAGAACUGCGCCCUGCAGUGCUUUUAUUUGUGUUUGUUUACCCUGUGUACAUUUAGACAGGAGGCAGCUGCUGGUUUCACAAACACAUUUAAUAACAACAUCCUUUCAUUAGUGAGGUGGGCGUCCAACUGUAUACCAUCAUAUCCCUUUAUGAUGAACACACUUCCACAGGAUAAACACAGCACCCACCGUAAUUUCUGAUAUAUAUACAGCUGGUUACUUCAUGGCUUUGACAACACAUUUAUGAUCAAACUCAAUCUUUCUAAUCACGAAGCAGUCUAAAAAGAUGACAAUGAACACAGUGGAUGGCUGAAGCUGCAUUGCAUGGAGUUCCUACUUGACAAGGCGUGUUCCAGAAAUGUUCAAAUGUGGGAUCAUGGUCAUCCUUGUGUGGAACAGUUCCCGGUGGGAAAUCUCUGGGAGCCGUGGAGGUAGUGAAAGAUGAGGCAUGUGUCCAGCCUGCAGCUCUGCUAAUAGCCCACAUUGUGCAGCUAGCCAGCAGGCGUGGUGCUCCAAGCCCCCGGCCUUCAAGACGCUGCCUGACUGACCAGCCGCUGCCCAGAUGGAGAGGCUUGCUAAGAUAGCGCGCGAAAUGGCAACCACAAUGCAACUAUUCUACUGGGCAGUGUGAUCACAAGAGGGGAGGGUAAGAAGGGGGUUCUUCUUUCACAGAUCUACAGGUGCAAAAAAAAAAAAAGGGGGCAACAGUGUGAAAAAUUGUUUGUGACCAGUUUGGGUGGAGGGGCGGGGCAGCCGGCCCUUGUUUUGAUUGUACCCUGAGCAUCCAUCAAUAAAUAAGCAACAAAUGUGAGUCUGGGCUUUGGAUAAAGAAAAUGCUGGUAUUCUGUCAAUGUCAGCUGAAAAAAUAAAUAAACAGACUUAUGGUGAAGGUG